UACGUAGGGUGCAAGCGUUGUCCGGAAUUAUUGGGCGUAAAGAGCGUGUAGGCGGCCCGACAAGUCCGCUGUGAAAGUCCAGGGCUCAACCCUGGAAUGCCGGUGGAUACUGUCGGGCUAGAGUCCGGAAGGGGCGAGUGGAAUUCCUGGUGUAGCGGUGAAAUGCGCAGAUAUCAGGAGGAACACCAAUGGCGAAGGCAGCUCGCUGGGACGUGACUGACACUGAGAGACGAAAGCUAGGGGAGCGAAUGGG
rnacentral:rRNA from 1 species